UCUGUAACCAAAAAAAAAAAAAAAAAAAAAAGGUUGAAAUAACCAGGAAGUUGAGAAUUAGCUGCAUAUGUUGUGAAAUGCAGUUUUACAAAUAAGCACUUGUUGAAUUGAUGCUUAUUUCUGAACCUCUAAUGGCGGAUAAUAUCACUUUGGAGUGGUUCCAAAGAGUAAAUCAGAUGUUUCUACUAAUGAGGUGAAUGGUCCUGUCGGCUUCAUCGAGCUGUCACCCUCAGCUCUCACUGCGUCAGUUCGCAACCAAGUGUGAAGCAGAUGGGAUGAGAAUCAGCAACUCCAAAUCUGAGUCCAUGGUUCUCAGCCUGAAAAGGU